GACGAACGCUGGCGGCGUGCUUAACACAUGCAAGUCGAACGGAAAGGCCCUGCUUUUGUGGGGUGCUCGAGUGGCGAACGGGUGAGUAACACGUGAGUAACCUGCCCUUGACUUUGGGAUAACUUCGGGAAACUGGGGCUAAUACCGGAUAGGAGCUCCUGCUGCAUGGUGGGGGUUGGAAAGUUUCGGCGGUUGGGGAUGGACUCGCGGCUUAUCAGCUUGUUGGUGGGGUAGUGGCUUACCAAGGCUUUGACGGGUAGCCGGCCUGAGAGGGUGACCGGCCACAUUGGGACUGAGAUACGGCCCAGACUCCUACGGGAGGUAGCAGUGGGGAAUAUUGCACAAUGGGCGGAAGCCUGAUGCAGCAACGCCGCGUGCGGGAUGACGGCCUUCGGGUUGUAAACCGCUUUCGCCUGUGACGAAGCGUGAGUGACGGUAAUGGGUAAAGAAGCACCGGCUAACUACGUG
rnacentral:rRNA from 1 species